UGCUGCCAGUUGCCAACGGGUGAAGCCGGGCACUCUGGCGGGACUGCCAUCGACAAGAUGGAGGAAGGUGGGGAUGACGUCAAGUCAUCAUGGCCCUUAUGUCCAGGGCGACACACGUGCUACAAUGGCCGGCACAGCGGGAAGCGAGGCAGUGAUGCCAAGCGGAUCCCUUAAAGCCGGUCUCAGUUCGGAUUGAAGUCUGCAACUCGACUUCAUGAAGCUGGAAUCGCUAGUAAUCGCAGAUCAGCCAAGCUGCGGUGAAUACGUUCCCGGGCCUU
rnacentral:rRNA from 1 species